AGCGAGAGCCACACCACUCCCAGAAGCCUCCUCAGCACACCAUUUGCCACCUGCUUUCUCCAAAAUAAGGAGCAGUCCGAGGAAUCUUCCCACUCUAGGGGAGAGCGCUGCACAGAUCUGCAGGUCUGCAGACUUCUGAAAUGAGCAAAACCAGGGGCUGUGGAUAAAAUACUACCCUCAGAGCUCCAGAACAAUCACUGGCCUUUCUUGGAGCCCAGUGUAAUCUGCCAACGAGUCAAGCUGCCACACCCAACAGAACUCUUGGAUAGGAUCAGGAAUGGAGAAUGACUUUCAGGUGUCACAAAAGGAAAGACAGCAUUUUAUCGGAGAAUUAGCCACCAUCUAUGGCUGGAAGGCACCACACCUCCAAGGUGAAUGUCAAAUAUUAGCUUACUCAGAGCAAUAAACCCCUCCCCAAGUCAAAGCUGCUGAGAUAUGAACCAAGGAAAUCAGCCAAGGCCUGACCUGCUCCAGCCUUCAGUCCCAGAGGCCUCUGUGUUGCCACUCAGUCACCAGCCCUAAGUGAGUCUCUUCUACCUUAUUUGUAGGUCACAAUAGCUGCCCUGUCCUGAGUGCUUCCUAGGUUUCUGGGCCAAUGGUGGAAAUGUUACAGACAUUUAUAAUCCUCCCAAGAAGUCUAGGAUGGAGGUGUUUGUAUCCUGAAUAUCAGGUGAAGAAAUGGAGGCUCAGGAAUGUUAAGCCACUUUCCCACAGGCUCAGCCAACCAGGGGCAGCCCUGAAACCUAACAUUGGGCAAGGUCUCCCAGGAUUGCCAGAGCACAGAAGCCUGCCCCUCUGAAAAAGAGGGCUGCACUCCAUCCCUGCAGCACCCCUGCUCUGCUCCAAGCUGGGACUCUGCUGCACAGCUGGCCCUUGCAUCUCCUCAGCAUUUGUUCAAAUUGCUAUGACCAGUUACCAGGGUACUUAAAGGCAGUUAAUGUGAGUACUAGCAGGAGACUUGGAGAGGUCAUUCCAAUCUGCUCACUCUGUAAUCUUUGAAGCCAAUAGAUAUUUGAGAAGCAAGUCACCAGAUUAUAAUUUUAAAAACAAAAUUGCAUUAAAAUUUGAUUACCAAAUUUAAUUUAUCUAUGAGGUAAAGUCCUGGGCCCUCUUCGUAAUUCCUUUUCACUUUUUGAACUACAAAUCCUUAACCCCCCUUUUCUCAGAUUGGAAAUUGCACUGAGAGAUUGUUAGGGUGGCUCCUGACCAGCUGCUCAACCCCAAGAGAUGAACGUCCAGCCAUCAAUGGGCACCCAGGGCUGUUCUCUGUAAGUACCCACUGCCCUGUGCCCAGGGAUACCUGGAAGAGCAGCUGGGGCACAGCCCUCACCCAGGAGUGCCUGGCUUGGGUCAUGCUAUGCCUUUCCUGACUGCUUUUUGCCUGGUCCCUGGUUUGCUUCCCAGUGCUCUCUGGGUCUUGGGGCCUCCCUGUACCCUAUCCAUCUUCCCUUGCUCUGGCACUCCUGUCUUCACUCCAUGCCCUCACAUUAAUUCAGAUGUGCCUCUCUGAUCAGUGCCCUCCCAGGACCAGCCAACCCCUGAAUAUUGGUUCCAGCCUGGCACUGACGUUCUCUAGGGCCCAUUUCCUGUUUUUUCUGCGAGCCCAUUUCUCGGGACAGCUCCCUCUUCCCUUCAUCCUUGCUUUACUUCUAAUACAGUCCCUGGAGGGUCCAAGCUGCACCUUAUGCUCUUAUUCCCUCACCCCUUCCUUUCAAGUUCAUCCCCUGCCCUGUCUGUCCCACAGCAGCUGAAGUAGUUGCCUGUAGAAAUCUCCAGAGUAGGGGGAGGUGCCACUGCUUCCCAUCUACCAUAUUUUGCUGCGUAUAAUGUGCACUUUUUUGCCCAGAUUUCUGAAUGAAAAAUAAAGAUGCAUAUUAUACAUGGGUAGUACUAAUUCUGUAUCUAUAUAAAUGUUUUUAAUUCUUUUAUUUAUGCUUAUGCAUUAAAAGUAUAAUUCUACAGAAAGCAAUAAUGAUAUCUUAUGCAAAAUAAUACCCUGGAAUAUGAUCAUUGGUUUUGUUUCUAAAUAUAAAUAAGUAAUUGAAUUAAAAAGUUAAAACAAAAGGUGUUUUUUCCUGAAAGUUUAGGCCAAAAAUGUGAGUGUGCAUUAUACACAGCAAAAUACAGUAAUUCUCAGCCACCUUUUUUUUAACUGGCUACCCAGAUGCCUCUGAACUGUACCUUUUAACUAUGCCAAGGCAAAUGCUAAGAUUAGAUGAUUUAGUCCCUUCUGCAGUGACCUGUGAUUCUCAGAUGUGUGUGGCAGCAGCUGAGAUUCAGUACACUUGAAGAGAGGGACUCAGUUUCUGGGAGCAUUCUGGUCCACUACACAGGGAGGUGAGGACCUGUGUGCCUGUUACUGAACACAGGGUGAGGUCUGUGUUAGUAGUUAGAAUGGACAGAAGAAGGAACUAACCAUUAAUGGUGGGUGUAGGAAGAUGCACCAGAUAUCCAACAUGAAUUGGAUAACUUCUUGGCCGAUUGUCAUACAGAAAACCUUAUUGCUGGACCCGAUGGUCAAAUAAAAGGACCAAUUUUAAGGUUUUACAAUUUAACAAAAGACCUGGCUUUUGCAGUCAUAUUACUUCAUCACUGAGCUUACCUCGACUCCCAUUUAAACUUAGGCAACAGGAUGACCUUGUGAGAGUUCUGAUUACCAAGCAGCCAGAGGCAUUUUUUCUGGUCUUCUGGUCAACCCUUCAGUUCCUUAAAGCUACCAAAUACCAAUAUCAGUGGCCUCUCUUGAUUCUGGCCAGAGAAUUAAGCUCAGCCCUAAAGAGACUUGAAAUAGAAUACUUAAAAAGAACUUGGACAUUAAAGUUCCAAGACUGAGCAGAAGGGAAGGUAUUUACUAGAGAUUGCAAACCGAUGCCUUUGACUCAACUUAAAUAUCUUCCCCCUGGACGAUGUUUUUUCAUCUCAAACAGCAUGCUAGUUUUGGUGUUGGUAUUCUAUAUGUGUUUACUUACAGUUACAACUGCUGUAUACCAUGAGAGCAGAAAUGCCUCGCCUUUCCCAUAUUCUCUGAGUGGUGCAGUGGGGUUGAGUGGUGGCCAGCCUCCAAAGAGGUAUGUCCAAUUCUUAACCUGAGAAACCUAUGAAUGUGAUGUUAUUUGGAAAAGGAUUUUUGUAGACACAAUUAAAUUAGGGAUCUCAAGAUGCAAGCAUCCUGGAAUUUCCCACUGGGCCCUACAUCCAAUGACAACUGUCCUUUAAAAAGGCACACUAACGAGAGACACACAGAGAAAAGAGCACAAAAUCACGUGAGGACAGAGGCAGAGACUGGAGUCACACAAGAAACAAGGACUGCCUGGAGCCACCUGGAACUGGGAAGAGACAAGAGAAUUUCCUCCCUUAGAGCCUUCGGAGGGAGCAGCGCCCCCCUCCCCCCGCCAAGAACCUUAGUCUUGGACUUCCAGCCUCCAGAACCAUGAGACAAUCCAUUUCUGUUGUUUGAAGUCACCCCAUUUGUGGUAACUUGUUGUGGAUACAGGUGGCUAUAAUUCUGGUGUUUGUAUUACCACCAGGACAAGGCUUAGCAGAACCUCUGGAUCUGGAAUGUCAGACUAAGGGGAUCUGCGUGGACAUUUUCAAGUUCAAAUUGGCUACACUCCACACCUCAGCCUUCCCAGAUCACGAGACAGUUGAGAUGACCGAGGAGACUCCCCCAUUUACAAACAGCAGAGCUUACUAUCUGUGCCUCUGCUGUGUCCCCCAGACACCAGGGAGGCAGCCACUGCUGGCCAGCUUUCAGGCGUCAGCUUUGCUCUGGAGAGUAGUGGCUUUGACUCAUGACCUGACACAUUAUCUGCAGAAGCAGAAAAAGGCCACGUAAGGAGUGGACAGGAGUCUAGCUUCUACGGUCCAGACAAAAGCAACAAUAAACAGGCAAAAGUG